rnacentral:rRNA from 1 species
CGCGUAGGCGGUUGUUUAAGUCGGAUGUGAAAGCCCUGGGCUCAACCUGGGAACUGCAUUCGAUACUGGACAACUAGAGUACGAGAGAGGGAGGUAGAAUUCCACGUGUAGCGGUGAAAUGCGUAGAUAUGUGGAGGAAUACCAGUGGCGAAGGCGGCCUCCUGGCUCGAUACUGACGCUCAGGUGCGAAAGCGUGGGGAGCAAACAGGAUUAGAUACCCUGGUAGUCC